UACGGAGGGUGCAGGCGUUAAUCGGAAUUACUGGGCGUAAAGCGUGCGCAGGCGGUCUGCUAAGAGAGGUGUGAAAUCCCCGGGCUUAACCUGGGAACUGCGCUUCUAACUGGCAGGCUAGAGUGUGGCAGAGGGGGGUGGAAUUCCACGUGUAGCAGUGAAAUGCGUAGAGAUGUGGAGGAACACCGAUGGCGAAGGCAGCCCCCUGGGCUAACACUGACGCUCAUGCACGAAAGCGUGGGGAGCAAACGGG
rnacentral:rRNA from 1 species